rnacentral:rRNA from 1 species
UGUUCCUUGUGCUCACAUGUACACUGUUCUUGAUAUUUCUAACGCAUUGAAUAUUUGCUUUAGGACAAUCGAUCGUGAUACCGAGAACAAAACAGCGUGCUUCAAGCUGGAUCUCCCAGUAGAUGACAAAGCUUGUUAUAUCAACGAACCUACCGGUUGAUUGCGAUUUACAGGUUUCUGCAGUCAGUGCGGGGAAUCCGAGCUGGAUCACAUUGAGAACACCUGGCUUGUCUUCGGACAGCUCUCGAAUAGUGUCCUGUUCAAGAUAUUAAUAGGGACCGAUGGAGCUGUCAGUAUUCACAGACGAGGGGUGAAAUCCUUAGACUCUGUGAAGACUAACAACAGCGAAGGCAUUCAGCUAAGAGGCCUUCAUUAAUCAAGAACGAGAGUGCAGGGAUCGAAGAUGAUCAGAUAUCGUCGUAGUCUGCUACUGUAAACUAUGCAAACUAGGGAUCAGUUGAUGGUGCAACACAUAUCUGUUGACUCGGUUGGUACCUCUCCUUCUUUUUAACGCGAAAGCUUAAGUCUUCGUGUUCAGGGGGGAGUACAGUUGCAAGGCUGAAACUUAAAGGAAUUGACGGAAUGACACCACAAGGCGUGGAUGCUGCGGCUUAAUUUGACUCAACACAGAGAAUGUUACCAGAUCAUGAGGUUUGACAGAUUGAUAGCUCUUUCUUGAUUAAGUUAAUGGUGGUGCAUGGCCGCUCCUGGUUGGUGGAGUGAUUUGUCUGGUUGAUUCCGUUAACGAACGAGAUCCCGACCCUUCGAUGACAGUUAUAUCGUAUGUAAUCAUUCGGAGCUUAACCCAUCUGGGUUCAUUGGUUGAUGAGAUGUAAGAUGCACGCAAGGGGACUAUGUGUGUUAAUAACACAUUGAAGUGUGGGCCAAUAGCAGGUCUGUGAUGCUCCUAGAUGUUCUGGGCUGCACACGGCAUACAAUGGUUAAGUCAAUAGGAUUGGUUCGAUCGAGCUCCUGUUGCGAAAGCAUUGGGAACUCCUAUCAGAUUUAACUGUGGCUGGGAUAGAUAUUUGCAACUGUUUGUCUUGAACUAGGAAUGCCUUGUAAACGCAUCUCAUCAGAGUGUAUUGAAUGCGUCCCUGCCGUUUGUACACACCGCCCGUCGUUGCAAUCGAUUGAUUUAAUACUAGAGAUCUUCAGGAGAGACACUGUAAUGAUUCGUCUGAAUGGCUGGUUCAAAGUUGCUCAAUAGUAUCGAACUAGAGAAUGCAAAAGUCGUAACAAGGUAACC